AAAACAUAGAAAAUUGGAAAUAAAUAAACAUUAAAUCGCAGCUAUUCAAAAGUAUACUCGACGUUAUGCGACAUGUGUGUAAUUUACACUAAAUUCUGGUACUGAUAAUACAUAUAUUAUAGAUAAGUUGUAUUUCCAAUAUUGAAUAUGUGAUAACAGUUACGUACGUAGCGAUCAUACUUACACAUUAUUGCUUACCAAUUAUUUAUUACGUUACAUUUCCAUUUAUCGCCAUCUGUAAUAAAAUCUUGCGAAAUUUUACUAUAUUUUACUAUAUUUUACUAUAUUUUAUUACUUCGUAUGAAUUUGUUAUGGUUCUAAUUAUCAAGUUGUGAUAUUUUGAAACACGCUGGAGGUACAUCAUAAAAAUAUAGCGUAUUAUGAUCUUAUUUCGUAUACCUUUUUAUUAAUAUUUAUAGUGAAAGUACAUUUAUAAUUGAAACUACUUAUUUACUUAAGUUGUACUUACUCUUACUACUUAUUUACGUAAUAUUUAUUUUUGUCCGGCUGUGUAAACUUAACCUCUAAAUUUUCAAUUGUAUUUUUAUUAUUACAUUAUUCUUAUAAGAUAGUAUGGCUUGUGAAGCUUGUAACGUAAAAUUCAGCUUCUUCACACGCAAGAAACAAUGUAUGGAUUGUUUGAGGCAUUUUUGUUCUGAAUGUGUAAUUAAGCGUUUGGACAAGAUAUUAAGUUGUAAUACUUGUAAUAUGUUGUCACGAAGACCUUUAACACGAAGUCUAAUUGCACAAGUACGGUCUAAAGAUAUACAACGGUAUCUGUUGGCAAAGAAGAUACCGAUUAAAGGAUGUAUUGAAAAGGAAGACUUGAUAAAAUUGUUAAUGACAUUUGCUAGUGGUGCUAAUGUUCGUUUGAGUACGGAAGAUGCAGGAAACAUUGAUAGUUCUCUCCCUAACCGAUCAGCAACUACAAACGAUGAGUAUAAUAGACAAGUUUUUAAUCGUACACACGAAAUCAGUGCUUCAAGGGUUGAUAGCAAUGAAAUUCCAGAAACAAUUCCUAGACUUAACUUUUAUUCGAAUGGAAGAGCAGAACCGAUACAUUCGGUAGAAGAGAAAAUUUCAAAAGUUUCUAAUAUUCAACAUUCCGAUGUAUGUGUAGAAGCACCUAUGAAUCCUGUAAAAUUAUCUGACAUAAAUACAUUAUCAGAACUGGAAUGUUUAAACGUGAAGCAAUUAAAAAAUUUGCUAAGUACAAAUCGAGUUGAUUAUAAAGGCUGCGUAGAAAGAUGCGAAUUAUUGAAUAGAGCUUCCAGAUUAUGGGAAGAAUACAGGCAGUCAAGAACAAAAGCUGAAAUUUUGGACGAAAAUCUGUGCAAAAUUUGUUGGGAUGAACCAGUUGAAUGUAUAAUCCUGGAAUGUGGCCAUAUGGCUUGUUGUUUGAAUUGUGGCAAACAAAUGUCGGAAUGUCCAAUAUGUAAACAGUAUGUAGUGAGGGUAGUGCGAUUUUUUAAAGCUUAACAAAAAUACAGUAAUGUUUAAUACCAUGGAAUAUGUAAUAUUCAAUAAAACAAAAUCGAAAAAGGGCGAAUAUAAUCGCUACCAUCGUGAUAUUUUAGAUUUAGUGUUUAUUGGCACAUUCUAUUGCCAUCAUAGAUUAUAAUAUAAUCAAAAUAAAAUAUAAUCUUUUAUAUUAAUGCAAAUGCAAUGAAAUAACAUGUAUCGACAUUUUCUAUAAAUAUUUUUAUUAAAAAAUGUGAUCGAAAAGAAGGAGGCACUUAUUUGGAUGCCUAUUAGAUAUAUCCACCGAGUGCAUCCUCAAAGCUGAACGACGACUAUGGUCGACAAUACGCUACGCUACGCAAUUGUUGCCGUUCUCAUUUGCGAUUGUCAAGUAACACUACUACGAAGCGCCGUAUCGAAGAAGUUGAAAGUUUAAAGUAAUCAAAUUUAGUAACGACCACUGUAUCUUUUUAUCCUUAUUUCUCUUUGCCGAAAAUAAAUUGAUUGAAAUUGGUAA